CAGCCGCCGCGGGAUACGUAGGUGGCAAGCGUUGUCCGGAAUUAUUGGGCGUAAAGGGCUCGCAGGCGGUUUCUUAAGUCUGAUGUGAAAGCCCCCGGCUCAACCGGGGAGGGUCAUUGGAAACUGGGAAACUUGAGUGCAGAAGAGGAGAGUGGAAUUCCACGUGUAGCGGUGAAAUGCGUAGAGAUGUGGAGGAACACCAGUGGCGAAGGCGACUCUCUGGUCUGUAACUGACGCUGAGGAGCGAAAGCGUGGGGAGCGAACAGGAUUAGAUACCCCAGUAGUCCCUGUCUCUUAUACA
rnacentral:rRNA from 1 species